CUCGUAGUCCUAACUAUAAACGAUGUCAACCAAGGAUUGGAUGAAAUUCAGAUGUACAAAGAUGAAGAAGCAUUGUUUCUUAAUCUGAGUAUAUCAAUAUUACCUUGUUCAGAACUUAAAGAGAAAUCUUGAGUUUAUGGACUUCAGGGGGAGUAUGGUCACAAGGCUGAAACU
rnacentral:rRNA from 1 species